rnacentral:rRNA from 1 species
GAAGCAGUGAGGAGAAUUAUGGUCAAUCGCCUUGACGGUCUGAAUUCUGGCGCAUUUCGCAGGAAUGAGUUUCUCUUGGGUAAGGGAUCGAUGAAUUCGGAGUAAAAUUCUAGGUGCAUAUUGAUUAUGACAAUAUGUUUAUAAGUCUUGACUAAUUACGUGCCAGCAGUCGCGGCAAUACGUAUGAGACGAGUGUUAUUCAUCUUUAAUAGGUUUAAAGGGUACUUAGACGGUUUAAUUAGCUAAAGCGGUACAAUUAAUCUAGAGUUUUAUAUAAGAAGGUAGUACUCUGGAGUGUAGUGAUAAAAUACUUUGAUACCCGGGGGACUGGCAACGGCGAAGGCAACCUUUAUCUUAAAACUGACGUCCAAGGACGAAGGCUUAGAGCACUAGAGGGAUUUGGUACCCCAGUAGUCUUUGCAGAAAAUUAUGAAUGUCAUAGAUUAGUAAUAGUAAUAGAUAUCUAGGUAGUGUAGUGGGUGGAUAUUUAAUCUUACACUCCACUCCACUUUAAGUACAGGUUGAUAACAGUAUAAUAGUAUGGUUGGGCGCAUCUUCUUCGGCGGCCCGUAAGGUUAACUGUAUUAAUUAUGCAUAGUACAUAUGUACUAUGUAUGGUUGCUACCUUGAUAGUUUAGUCUAUUAAUGAAAGUGUAAGCAUUUCACCUCAAGAGUAAUGCGGCAACGUGGGAACUGUAAUCACUAUGAGCGAUGGUACGAAGCAGUGAAGUAUUAUUUAAUCGAUGAUCCGCAA